GGGCGCCCGGAGCCGCUGCCGGCACGGCGAGCGAGGGGACGGGCGAAACUGCCCUUGUAAGCAGAUUAUACGCUGAUGCUUGGAGCAGCAAGUCGAGCAUAAGCAGACCUCUGUCUUCAUCUGCAGGUAAGAAUUCAGCACCAAAACCCUCCAAGAGAGAGUUUGCCUGCUUCCUUCUGAAAGUACU
rnacentral:lncRNA from 1 species